GUGUAGUUCAGUGGUAGAACAGUUGCCUAGCAUGUACAAGGCCCUGGGUUUGACCCCCAGCAC
rnacentral:tRNA from 1 species